GGGCACGUGGUGUAGUUGGUUAUCACGCUCGCUUAGCAUAACCCAUUGUGCAAAAGCAUCUGCGAGAGGGGUCCGGUUCAAUCCCGGACGUGUCCA